rnacentral:rRNA from 1 species
GAGUUUGAUCCUGGCUCAGGAUGAACGCUAGCGGCAGGCUUAACACAUGCAAGUCGAGGGGUAACAUUGUGCUUGCACAGAUGACGACCGGCGCACGGGUGCGUAACGCGUAUAGAACCUACCUUUUACAGAGGGAUAGCCUUUAGAAAUGAAGAUUAAUACCUCAUAGUAUUGCGAUUUGGCAUCAGAUUGUAAUUAAAGAUUUAUCGGUAAAAGAUGGCUAUGCGUCCUAUUAGUUAGUUGGUAAGGUAACGGCUUACCAAGACAUCGAUAGGUAGGGGUCCUGAGAGGGAGAUCCCCCACACUGGUACUGAGACACGGACCAGACUCCUACGGGAGGCAGCAGUGAGGAAUAUUGGACAAUGGAGGAGACUCUGAUCCAGCCAUGCCGCGUGCAGGAAGACUGCCCUAUGGGUUGUAAACUGCUUUUAUACAGGAAGAAACACUAGUACGUGUACUAGCUUGACGGUACUGUAAGAAUAAGGACCGGCUAACUCCGUGCCAGCAGCCGCGGUAAUACGGAGGGUCCGAGCGUUAUCCGGAAUCAUUGGGUUUAAAGGGUCCGCAGGCGGUCGAUUAAGCCAGAGGUGAAAUCCCAUAGCUUAACUAUGGAACUGCCUUUGAUACUGGUUGACUUGAGUCAUAUGGAAGUAGAUAGAAUGUGUAGUGUAGCGGUGAAAUGCAUAGAUAUUACACAGAAUACCGAUUGCGAAGGCAGUCUACUACGUAUGUACUGACGCUCAUGGACGAAAGCGUGGGGAGCGAACAGGAUUAGAUACCCUGGUAGUCCACGCCGUAAACGAUGGACACUAGUUGUUGGGAUUUAUCUCAGUGACUAAGCGAAAGUGAUAAGUGUCCCACCUGGGGAGUACGAUCGCAAGAUUGAAACUCAAAGGAAUUGACGG